UACGGGGGGUGCGAGCGUUGUCCGGAAUCACUGGGCGUAAAGGGCGCGUAGGUGGCGUGAUAAGGGUGUGGUGAAAGCCCGGGGCUCAACCCCGGGUCUGCCAUGCCGACUGUCAGGCUCGAGUGCUGUAGGGGCAGGCGGAAUUCCGGGUGUAGCGGUGAAAUGCGUAGAUAUCUGGAGGAAUACCGGUGGCGAAGGCGGCAUCCUGGACCGACAUUGACGCUGAACGGCGAAAGCUAGGGGAGCAAACGGG
rnacentral:rRNA from 1 species